AGGUCAGAGGCUUGAGUCCGGAGGACGGUAAAUCCGUCGGCGUAGCCUUCGAAGGUUCGAAUCCUUCACCCGCCA
rnacentral:tRNA from 1 species